rnacentral:rRNA from 1 species
UGCAAGUCGAGCGAGAAAUUACUCAAUGAAUCUUCGGAAGAAUUGAAUAAUGGAAAGCGGCGGACGGGUGAGUAACGCGUGGGCAACCUGCCUUUCACAGAGGGAUAGCCAAAGGAAACUUUGAUUAAAACCUCAUAAAGCCGAAAUGUUGCAUAGCAAGACGGCCAAAGAUUUAUCGGUGAAAGAUGGGCCCGCGUCUGAUUAGUUAGUUGGUGGGGUAACGGCUCACCAAGGCGACGAUCAGUAGCCGACCUGAGAGGGUGAUCGGCCACAUUGGAACUGAGACACGGUCCAAACUCCUACGAGAGGCAGCAGUGGGGAAUAUUGCACAAUGGGCGCAAGCCUGAUGCAGCAACGCCGCGUGAACGAAGAAGGCCUUCGGGUCGUAAAGUUCUGUCCAUAGGGAAGAAACAAAUGACGGUACCUGUGGAGGAAGCCCCGGCUAAAUACGUGCCAGCAGCCGCGGUAAUACGUAUGGGGCAAGCGUUAUCCGGAAUUAUUGGGCGUAAAGAGUGCGUAGGUGGUGGCUUAAGCGCAGGGUUUAAGGCAAUAGCUUAACUAUUGUUCGCCUUGCGAACUGGGUCACUUGAGUACAGGAGAGGAAAGCGGAAUUCCUAGUGUAGCGGUGAAAUGCAUAGAUAUUAGGAGGAACACCGGUGGCGAA